GGCGGCGUGCUUAACACAUGCAAGUCGAACGAUGAAGCCCUUCGGGGUGGAUUAGUGGCGAACGGGUGAGUAACACGUGGGCAAUCUGCCCUUCACUCUGGGACAAGCCCUGGAAACGGGGUCUAAUACCGGAUACGACUGCGGGAGGCAUCUCCUGUGGUGGAAAGCUCCGGCGGUGAAGGAUGAGCCCGCGGCCUAUCAGCUUGUUGGUGGGGUAAUGGCCUACCAAGGCGACGACGGGUAGCCGGCCUGAGAGGGCGACCGGCCACACUGGGACUGAGACACGGCCCAGACUCCUACGGGAGGCAGCAGUGGGGAAUAUUGCACAAUGGGCGAAAGCCUGAUGCAGCGACGCCGCGUGAGGGAUGACGGCCUUCGGGUUGUAAACCUCUUUCAGCAGGGAAGAAGCGAGAGUGACGGUACCUGCAGAAGAAGCGCCGGCUAACUACGUGCCAGCAGCCGCGGUAAUACGUAGGGCGCAAGCGUUGUCCGGAAUUAUUGGGCGUAAAGAGCUCGUAGGCGGCUUGUCACGUCGGAUGUGAAAGCCCGAGGCUUAACCUCGGGUCUGCAUUCGAUACGGGCUGGCUAGAGUGUGGUAGGGGAGAUCGGAAUUCCUGGUGUAGCGGUGAAAUGCGCAGAUAUCAGGAGGAACACCGGUGGCGAAGGCGGAUCUCUGGGCCAUUACUGACGCUGAGGAGCGAAAGCGUGGGGAGCGAACAGGAUUAGAUACCCUGGUAGUCCACGCCGUAAACGUUGGGAACUAGGUGUUGGCGACAUUCCACGUCGUCGGUGCCGCAGCUAACGCAUUAAGUUCCCCGCCUGGGGAGUACGGCCGC
rnacentral:rRNA from 1 species